rnacentral:rRNA from 1 species
UACGGGAGGCAGCAGUGGGGAAUAUUGCACAAUGGGCGCAAGCCUGAUGCAGCCAUGCCGCGUGUAUGAAGARGGCCUUCGGGUUGUAAAGUACUUUCAGCAGUGAGGAAGGGRGUAGUUUUAAUAGAGCUAUUCUUUGACGUUAGCUGCAGAAGAAGCACCGGCUAACUCCGUGCCAGCAGCCGCGGUAAUACGGAGGGUGCGAGCGUUAAUCGGAAUUACUGGGCGUAAAGCGCAUGCAGGUGGUCUGUUAAGUCAGAUGUGAAAGCCCGGGGCUUAACCUCGGAGUUGCAUUUGAAACUGGCAGGCUAGAGUACUGUAGAGGGGGGUAGAAUUUCAGGUGUAGCGGUGAAAUGCGUAGAGAUCUGAAGGAAUACCGGUGGCGAAGGCGGCCCCCUGGACAGAUACUGACACUCAGAUGCGAAAGCGUGGGGAGCAAACAGGAUUAGAUACCCUGGUAGUCCACGCCGUAAACGAUGUCUACUUGGAGGUUGUGACCYAGAGUCGUGGCUUUCGGAGCUAACGCGUUAAGUAGACCGCCUGGGGAGUACGGUCGCAAGAUUAAAACUCAAAUGAAUUGACGGGGGCCCGCACMAGCGGUGGAGCAUGUGGUUUAAUUCGAUGCAACGCGAAGAACCUUACCUAC